rnacentral:rRNA from 1 species
AUUGAACGCUGGCGGCAUGCCUUACACAUGCAAGUCGAACGGUAACGCGGGGCAACCUGGCGACGAGUGGCGAACGGGUGAGUAAUGCAUCGGAACGUACCCAGUAGUGGGGGAUAGCUCGGCGAAAGCCGGAUUAAUACCGCAUACGACCCAUGGGUGAAAGCGGGGGAUCGCAAGACCUCGCGCUGGUGGAGCGGCCGAUGUCAGAUUAGGUUGUUGGUGAGGUAAAGGCUCACCAAGCCGACGAUCUGUAGCU